AUUGAACGCUGGCGGCAUGCCUUACACAUGCAAGUCGAACGGCAGCACGGGAGCAAUCCUGGUGGCGAGUGGCGAACGGGUGAGUAAUAUAUCGGAACGUGCCCAGUCGUGGGGAUAACGUAGCGAAAGCUACGCUAAUACCGCAUACGAUCUAUGGAUGAAAGCGGGGGAUCGCAAGACCUCGCGCGAUUGGAGCGGCCGAUAUCAGAUUAGGUAGUUGGUGAGGUAAAGGCUCGCCAAGCCGACGAUCUGUAGCUGGUCUGAGAGGACGACCAGCCACACUGGGACUGAGACACGGCCCAGACUCCUACGGGAGGCAGCAGUGGGGAAUUUUGGACAAUGGGCGCAAGCCUGAGUCCAGCAAUGCCGCGUGCAGGAUGAA
rnacentral:rRNA from 1 species